rnacentral:rRNA from 1 species
AGUGAACGCUGGCGGUAGGCCUAACACAUGCAAGUCGAACGGCAGCACAGUAAGAGCUUGCUCUUACGGGUGGCGAGUGGCGGACGGGUGAGGAAUACAUCGGAAUCUACUUUUUCGUGGGGGAUAACGUAGGGAAACUGACGCUAAUACCGCAUACGACCUACGGGUGAAAGCAGGGGAUCUUCGGACCUUGCGCGAUUGAAUGAGCCGAUGUCGGAUUAGCUAGUUGGCGGGGUAAAGGCCCACCAAGGCGACGAUCCGUAGCUGGUCUGAGAGGAUGAUCAGCCACACUGGAACUGAGACACGGUCCAGACUCCUACGGGAGGCAGCAGUGGGGAAUAUUGGACAAUGGGCGCAAGCCUGAUCCAGCCAUACCGCGUGGGUGAAGAAGGCCUUCGGGUUGUAAAGCCCUUUUGUUGAGAAAGAAAAGCAGCAGGUUAAUACCCCGCUGUUCUGACGGUACCCAAAGAAUAAGCACCGGCUAACUUCGUG